UCUCAAGAAAAGAAUUUUAGUCCAACCUAAAGUAUGAUUAUAUACACGCAAAUCACCCCCAUUACUUUAGAGCAAUUCAAAUAAGGUACAGCCUAUUUGAUACAGGACCCAACCUUAACUAACGGGUAAUAUUCAACUUACAUCUAUAAGUAGGCCUAAGAGCAGCCACCUUUUAAAAAGCGUCAAAGCUUACAUGUUUAUUCCAAUUCCUCACCCCAUAUAGACCCCUUCAACUGUACUGAGAACUUCUAUAGUACUAUAGAACCUUUUAUGCUAAAACUAGUAACAAGAGUUAACCCCUCUCCACAAUGCAAGUAUAAGCCAGCAAGAGCCCAUCACUGGCAACUAACAGAUCUGAACAAAAGUAGCAACUUAAACCAGAAAAAUCUUCUCUACUCAACUGUUAACCUAACACCAGAGCAUUUCAAGAAAGAUUAAAAGAAAAAGAAGGAACUCGGCAAACAUUAGCCCCGCCUGUUUACCAAAAACAUCGCCUCUUGCUCAUAUAAGAGGUCUAGCCUGCCCAGUGACUCUUGUUCAACGGCCGCGGUAUCCUAACCGUGCGAAGGUAGCGUAAUCACUUGUCUUCUAAAUAAAGACCAGUAUGAAAGGCAUCACGAGGGCUAGACUGUCUCCUUUCUCUAAUCAGUGAACCUAAUCUCCCCGUGAAGAAGCGGGGAUUCUUAUAUAAGACGAGAAGACCCUAUGGAGCUUUAAACAUCACAACACCUGCCUCACACUUCUAUCUACCCAGGUACACCCACUCACAGCACACUGAUUGUAUGUUUUUGGUUGGGGUGACCGCGGAGAAAAACUAAUCCUCCGCAAUGAAAGGGGUUUUCCCUAAACAAUAAACCACAACUUUAUGUAUCUACAAAUUGACAUUCAUUGACCCAAUACACUUGACUAACGAACCAAGUUACCCUAGGGAUAACAGCGCAAUCCACUUUAAGAGCCCCUAUCGACAAGUGGGCUUACGACCUCGAUGUUGGAUCAGGGUAUCCUAGUGGUGCAGCCGCUACUAAAGGUUCGUUUGUUCAACGAUUAAAACCC
rnacentral:rRNA from 1 species